UAUUUGAUCACAUCUGUUAGCAUUUUCUGGUGCCAGGGCAUGAUGAAGACCUAUUUAUUCAUAAGACUGUUGCCAGGGUACCUAAGUGCUUUAAUCAGUUCUUGAAAUAGUUCUUUGCCUCACAACUGAAAAGCAAAUAUUUUCCUGUUUCUCUUUUACAUACAGUCUCAAGCUGUUGCUGGAGGAGCACAGGGAUGUUCGAUAAGAAACCUUCCUGGGAACUUGAGUGGAAUUGCAUUUAAUCUAGAAGUCAGUUUUGUGAGGAAACACCGACUUUACAAUAUUGGUUAUACUACACUGAAAGUAACUUCAAGCUGGAAGAGAUAAGGAAACAGAAGCUUAGGGAGAUUAUGUGACUUUGAACAAAUUACUUACAAGAGCUUGGAUAUGAACAUGAUGUUCUGACUGCACUUGUGCUAAUUCACCACUCAAGACUGCCUUUGGGCCAUUCAGUUGAUACCUAAAGAACUGUGCUAGGUUUCGGGAGCUGCUUUAUUGUUUUUGAACUUCUAUUCUUUGGGGAUUUUUGAAGUAUGUGCUAUUCUUUAUUCAUAUAACAAAAGCUGCCAGACCACUGCUUCAGACCCACUGUGGGAGGACUUCAGAGCAAAUAAGUUAACAAACACCUAAAGUGUUCUCUGCUUCAGUGUGGUAUUCGUGCCUUCUCAUUUCAUGAUCAUGGUAUCUCCCCUGCCAGACUGAAGAGCCUUUUCUGACAUCCUCAUUUGUUCUGCUGUGUAAUAGCAUGGGAUCUUUCAGAGCUGUUGACAUCUGCUCCACUCUAGAGAGCUGCAGAACCGAGCCAGCAAAGCAAUAAUAAUUAUGCCCGAAUGGACUGCAAAGGAUGUAAGAGAUAAGAAGGAACACAAGAAAGAAAAUACAUUCGAUGCCAUGUUGUUCCAGCCUGGAUCAUCAUCUGGCAGGUCUGAGCCUGGUCUUACUAACUGGAAACUGGAGAAGUACGUUCAGAAAUGAACAAGAUGUCCCCGAGGCAACCAGAAUGCCAUCCAAAGUGGCAGGGCAGUGUUGGCCUCUGUCCUCUGUUCCUGUUCCUCCUUGCUGCUCGAACUCUGGCUCCCGCUGGCAUUUCUCUUUCUGCCACAGAGCUCUCCGGCCUCCAGGGACGUGGAUCCAACCCCAGUUCCCGCCUCCACUCGACCCAGGGGUUGGAUCUGAUCUGGUCAGGGGUCAUCUCAACCCACUGCCAGUGAUUGGUUCAGAAAUGGGUGUGUAAUCAUUUUGGCCGAUGAACAAAAGGAGAGAUUUUUCAGAGACUGCCUUGGGAAGAGUUUCUCUGAACAUCACCAUUCCUGGAUGGGAGGUCCCUCUGAGACAGAUGUCUUGCUGCCAGGUUGAGGAUGAAGGUGCAAGCACAAGUGGGCAGAGCAAAGAGAAGAGUGGGAGAAAGGGGCAGGAGCCACAGGACCCCACCCACCCCAAAGCCUCAAACCUCUAGACUUUGGUUUUGGGGGCUGUACUUUAUUUUAGCUUAUAAGCCAGUUUGAGUUUUCUAUUGCUUGCAAUAAAGAAAUCUUAAUACAAGUUGUCAAAAACUAAAAACUUCUAAGUACUAAUGAGAAAAACAAAGCAUGUGGCCUAUGUAAAGAAAGAAUGUAAUAUUGACCAAUGGAUAAAAGGAAGAGAAACUGCAAGGUAAUAGAACUAAGAUAAGAUGGCUUCCUUCCAGUGCAAAGGGUUAAACUAUCAAAUAAUUUAGUGCCAAACCUAAAGCACUGUCCUCACUCAGGAUGGCUUGAAUAUGACCCUCUUGGCCAUCAACCAUGGCUGUACUCAACCUCAGCAUAAGACCUGUUGUAGAGCAUGAAAUAGAUGCAACCUAGCAUACUAUUUAAAGUGGCCCUCAAGG